UGAUAGCAGGAUCCAGUGUUGGCUGCAGUUCAGAAUGGAGUAUACUAUGCCAGGGGUUCUCAAACGAUGUGCCUGCUGGAACCUGGCUGUUAUGUGCUCACCUUUGCUUUUUGCUACCAUUCUUCUUCUAACAAGCAAAUGUCUACAAACAUAUCUUUAAGCAGUUUGUGAUGAUGUAAACUGGUGAUUCCAGAUCCUUGGGCAAGGAUGAAGAAAAGCUCCUUGACAAGGUAGUUGUCCUUCUUUGGAGGAAGUUGCAGAAAGGAAGUUGGAGCCCAUGAAGAGAACCUUAUUCACAGAUCAUCUGAGGCCACACUGUCCUCACUCUAAGCUAUGCUAGUGAACAUCAUGUAGGGAAAUAUAUUUAUGUUCUUGAAAUUUUCAGUGUGUUGAUUUUCAAAAAUAAAGAAUCAAGGCAUGAUUUAAA